GAAGGAAAGUUGCAAAGCACUUUGAAGAGAGAGUUAAAGAGGACGUGAAACCGGUGAGGUGGAAACGGAUAGAGUCGGCGUAUCAUUCAAUUAUUCAGUUACAUUAUUUUUAUGUUGUGACCUCUGAGCUCCAGAUUGGGACAGAGGGAAUCAGCAUAAUUUUUUGUGGUGCAUUUACUUGAUUGGUGCUUGGGGAUGUUUGAGGCAGAUUUGUUUCCGUCGUUUUGAGGCCAGCUUGCUGGUACCCAAACGGUGUUAGCAUUUUUUGUCUUGGGCAUUUGAGUAUGGCUCACGUGUAUUUAUUGGACAGAUCUGAGUGUAAGUUACGGUCGCAUGCGACACGUGCUUUUCAAUUAGUUCGGUCCAGUUAAUGCUCUCGUACUCGUUCCCCAUGUAAAAGCCGGUCAUCUAUCCGACCCGUCUUGAAACACGGACCAAGGAGUUUAUCGUGUGCGCAAGUUUUUGGGUGUUAAAAACUUAAAAGCGAAAUGAAAGUAAAUGACUCUUUAGAGUCUGAUGUGCGAUCUUGUAAAAAAGUGCAGCAUGGCCCCAUUCUAACUGUUUACAGUAGGGUGGCGGAAGAGCGUACGCGGUGAGACCCGAAAGAUGGUGAACUAUUCCUGAGCAG
rnacentral:rRNA from 1 species